AGCGAACGCUGGCGGCAGGCCUAAUACAUGCAAGUCGAGCGCACCGUUCGGGUGAGCGGCGGACGGGUGAGUAACGCGUGGGAAUGUGCCCCUUUGGUACGGAACAACUGAGGGAAACUUCAGCUAAUACCGUAUGUAGCCCCUUGGGGAAAGAUUUAUUGCCAUUGGAGCAGCCCGCGUUGGAUUAGGUAGUUGGUGGGGUAAAGGCCCACC
rnacentral:rRNA from 1 species